rnacentral:rRNA from 1 species
GAUGAACGCUGGCGGCGUGCCUAAUACAUGCAAGUAGAACGCUGAAGGAGGAGCUUGCUCUUCUGGAUGAGUUGCGAACGGGUGAGUAACGCGUAGGUAACCUGCCUGGUAGCGGGGGAUAACUAUUGGAAACGAUAGCUAAUACCGCAUGACAACAGUUAUUGCAUGAUAACUGUUUAAAAGGGGCAACUGCUCCACUACCAGAUGGACCUGCGUUGUAUUAGCUAGUUGGUGAGGUAACGGCCCACCAAGGCGACGAUACAUAGCCGACCUGAGAGGGGGAUCGGCCACACUGGGACUGAGACACGGCCCAGACUCCUACGGGAGGCAGCAGUAGGGAAUCUUCGGCAAUGGACGGAAGUCUGACCGAGCAACGCCGCGUGAGUGAAGAAGGUUUUCGGAUCGUAAAGCUCUGUUGUAAGAGAAGAACGAGUGUGAGAGUGGAAAGUUCACACUGUGACGGUAUCUUACCAGAAAGGGACGGCUAACUACGUG